rnacentral:rRNA from 1 species
UACGUAGGUGGCGAGCGUUGUCCGGAAUUAUUGGGCGUAAAGAGCAUGUAGGCGGCUUAAUAAGUCGAGCGUGAAAAUGCGGGGCUCAACCCCGUAUGGCGCUGGAAACUGUUAGGCUUGAGUGCAGGAGAGGAAAGGGGAAUUCCCAGUGUAGCGGUGAAAUGCGUAGAUAUCACGAAGAACUCCGAUUGCGAAGGCAGCCUGCUGGACUGUAACUGACGCUGAUGCUCGAAAGUGUGGGUAUCAAACAGG